rnacentral:snRNA from 1 species
GAAGUGACAUCAACUGGCUGUGACAUCUGUCACCACAUUUAUCAGCAGGGUUGAUUUGGCUGAUCUGUUAGAUGGUGUCCUAUUUCACCAUCAUUUCAUGUGGGGUGUCUUCAAAGCUGCACACCUGCAGAAGAAGAUAACCGUCCCAAGAUAGGAGCAUACCAAUCUUUGGUCAAGGGUAUGUAAUAGCUACAUUCUCCUGUCAAUUUCUCCAAACAAACUUAAAAAACAAAGACAAUAACAGUUACACAAGUCCUUAGCUUUUAUUAUACAGUACAGGUAGUGCUCAACUUA